UCCCUGGUAGCUCAGAUGGUAAAGCUUCUGCCUGCAAUGCAGGAGACUCGGGUUCAAUCCCUGGGUUGGGGA
rnacentral:tRNA from 1 species